rnacentral:rRNA from 1 species
UACGGAGGAUGCAAGCGUUAUCCGGAUUCAUUGGGUUUAAAGGGUGCGCAGGCGGGAGUGAUAAGUCAGUGGUAGAAAUCCUACGGCUCAACUGUAGAACUGCCAUUGAUACUGUCAUUCUUGAGUACUGUUGAGGUGGGCGGAAUGUGUCAUGUAGCGGUGAAAUGCUUAGAUAUGACACAGAACACCGAUCGCGAAGGCAGCUCACCAAGCAGAAACUGACGCUCAUGCACGAAAGCGUGGGGGAUCAAACAGGAUUAGAUACCC